rnacentral:rRNA from 1 species
GAGGCGAACCGGGGGAACUGAAACAUCUAAGUACCCCGAGGAAAAGAAAUCAACCGAGAUUCCGAAAGUAGCGGCGAGCGAAAUUGGACUAGCCCUUAAGCUUUACACGCGUUAGACGAACGGUCUGGAAAGUCCGACGAUACAGGGUGAUAGUCCCGUAGUUGACGACGUGUGUUCAGUGAAAUCGAGUAGGGCGGGACACGUGAUAUCCUGUCUGAAUAUGGGGGGACCAUCCUCCAAGGCUAAAUACUACUGACUGACCGAUAGUGAACCAGUACCGUGAGGGAAAGGCGAAAAGAACCCCUGUGAGGGGAGUGAAAUAGAACCUGAAACCGUGUACGUACAAGCAGUAGGAGCAGGCUUUGUCCUGUGACUGCGUACCUUUUGUAUAAUGGGUCAGCGACUUAUAUUCAGUGGCAAGGUUAACCAUCUAGGGGAGCCGUAGGGAAACCGAGUCUUAACUGGGCGUUCAGUCUCUGGAUAUAGACCCGAAACCAGGUGAUCUAGCCAUGGGCAGGUUGAAGGUUGAGUAACAUCAACUGGAGGACCGAACCGACUAAUGUUGAAAAAUUAGCGGAUGACUUGUGGCUAGGGGUGAAAGGCCAAUCAAACCUGGAGAUAGCUGGUUCUCCCCGAAAGCUAUUUAGGUAGCGCCUCGGACGAAUACUACUGGGGGUAGAGCACUGUUAAGGCUAGGGGGUCAUCCCGACUUACCAACCCUUUGCAAACUCCGAAUACCAGUAAGUACUAUCCGGGAGACACACGGCGGGUGCUAACGUCCGUCGUGGAGAGGGAAACAACCCAGACCGCCAGCUAAGGUCCCAAAUUACUACUAAGUGGGAAACGAUGUGGGAAGGCUCAGACAGCCAGGAUGUUGGCUUAGAAGCAGCCAUCAUUUAAAGAAAGCGUAAUAGCUCACUGGUCGAGUCGGCCUGCGCGGAAGAUGUAACGGGGCUAAGUAGUAAACCGAAGCUGCGGCAAUACUCUUUGAGUAUUGGGUAGGGGAGCGUUCUGUAAGCGGUUGAAGGUGUGUGGUAACGCAUGCUGGACGUAUCAGAAGUGCGAAUGCUGACAUGAGUAACGAUAAAGGGGGUGAAAAACCUCCUCGCCGGAAGACCAAGGGUUCCUGUCCAACGUUAAUCGGGGCAGGGUAAGUCGACCCCUAAGGCGAGGCCGAAAGGCGUAGUCGAUGGGAAACGGGUUAAUAUUCCCGUACUUCUUACAAUUGCGAUGGGGGGACGGAGAAGGCUAGGUGGGCCUGGCGACGGUUGUCCAGGUUCAAGUGCGUAGGCUUAAGAGUUAGGUAAAUCCGGCUCUUUCUAAGGCUGAGACACGACGUCGAGCACCUACGGGUGUGAAGUCAUUGAUGCCAUGCUUCCAGGAAAAGCCUCUAAGCUUCAGAUUGUAAGGAAUCGUACCCCAAACCGACACAGGUGGUCGGGUAGAGAAUACCAAGGCGCUUGAGAGAACUCGGGUGAAGGAACUAGGCAAAAUGGUACCGUAACUUCGGGAGAAGGUACGCUCUCGACGGUGAAGUCCCUCGCGGAUGGAGCUAUUGAGAGUCGCAGAUACCAGGUGGCUGCAACUGUUUAUUAAAAACACAGCACUGUGCAAAAUCGUAAGAUGACGUAUACGGUGUGACGCCUGCCCGGUGCCGGAAGGUUAAUUGAUGGGGUUAGACUUCGGUCGAAGCUCUUGAUCGAAGCCCCGGUAAACGGCGGCCGUAACUAUAACGGUCCUAAGGUAGCGAAAUUCCUUGUCGGGUAAGUUCCGACCUGCACGAAUGGCGUAAUGAUGGCCACGCUGUCUCCACCCGAGACUCAGUGAAAUUGAAAUCGCUGUGAAGAUGCAGUGUACCCGCGGCUAGACGGAAAGACCCCGUGAACCUUUACUACAGCUUGGCACUGAACAUUGACCCUACAUGUGUAGGAUAGGUGGGAGGCUUUGAAGCACGUACGCCAGUAUGUGUGGAGCCGUCCUUGAAAUACCACCCUUGUAGUGUUGAUGUUCUAACGUCGACCCCUAAUCGGGGUUGCGGACAGUGCCUGGUGGGUAGUUUGACUGGGGCGGUCUCCUCCCAAAGAGUAACGGAGGAGCACGAAGGUGGGCUAAUCACGGUUGGACAUCGUGAGGUUAGUGCAAUGGCAUAAGCCCGCUUGACUGCGAGAAUGACAAUUCGAGCAGGUGCGAAAGCAGGUCAUAGUGAUCCGGUGGUUCUGAAUGGAAGGGCCAUCGCUCAACGGAUAAAAGGUACUCCGGGGAUAACAGGCUGAUACCGCCCAAGAGUUCAUAUCGACGGCGGUGUUUGGCACCUCGAUGUCGGCUCAUCACAUCCUGGGGCUGAAGUCGGUCCCAAGGGUAUGGCUGUUCGCCAUUUAAAGUGGUACGCGAGCUGGGUUUAGAACGUCGUGAGACAGUUCGGUCCCUAUCUGCCGUGGGCGUUGGAAGAUUGAAGGGGGCUGCUCCUAGUACGAGAGGACCGGAGUGGACGAACCUCUGGUGUUCGGGUUGUGUCGCCAGACGCAUUGCCCGGUAGCUAAGUUCGGAAUCGAUAACCGCUGAAAGCAUCUAAGCGGGAAGCGAGCCCUGAGAUGAGUCUUCCCUGAUACUUUAAGUAUCCUAAAGGGUUGUCGGAGACUACGACGUUGAUAGGUCAGGUGUGUAAGUGCUGUGAGGCAUUGAGCUAACUGAUACUAAUUGCCCGUGAGGCUUAACCAU